rnacentral:rRNA from 1 species
AAGCGAACGCUGGCGGCGUGCUUAACACAUGCAAGUCGAGUGCGCAGUUUCUCUGUAGCAAUACAGGGGAAUGGGCGCACGGCGCACGGGUGAGUAACACGUGGGCAACCUGCCCUACAAUGGGGGAUAACCCGCCGAAAGGCGGGCUAAUACCGCAUGACAUUACAGUGGCUUCGGCCGCUGGAAUCAAAGGCCGCAAGGCCGUUGGAGGAGGGGCCCGCGCCCGAUUAGCUAGUUGGUGAGGUAACGGCUCACCAAGGCAUUGAUCGGUAGCCGGUCUGAGAGGAUGGCCGGCCACACUGGAACUGAGACACGGUCCAGACUCCUACGGGAGGCAGCAGUGGGGAAUCUUGCGCAAUGGGCGAAAGCCUGACGCAGCGACGCCGCGUGGGGGAUGAAGCAUCUCGGUGUGUAAACCCCUUUCGACCCGGAAGAAUGUCCCGCAAGGGAUUGACGGUACGGGUAUAAGAAGCCCGGCUAACUACGCGCCAGCAGCCGCGGUAAGACGUAGGGGGCCAGCGUUGCUCGGAAUAACUGGGCGUAAAGGGUUCGUAGGCGGUGCGGCAAGUCGGAAGUGAAAUCCCAGGCUCAACUG